GAGUUCAGGGCCACAGCUCCUCCCACCGAGCCACUUCCUACCCCCGGUGCCCCCGGCGGAGCGGGCAGCGCCCGUUCCUCCUCCGCGCCAUCGCCGCCGACCGACUUCGCUCCGCUCCUGGCUCCGCAGAACCCUCCCGAACCCCGGCAGGGCAGCUCGGAGCGCUCCGGGCAGCGAAGGGCAGAGCUGCUGCUCCCUCCGCUAAUUGCACCAGGGACGGGAGGGACAAUGCCCGGCUGUUCUCGUCCGCCAGCCCGAGGCUUGUGCCCAAAUCAUGUCCCGGUCCCGGAGCUCGGCACGCGGGGAGAUAACGGGGGCCGCCUUAUCAGCGCCUCUCUUCCUCUUCUUCUAAAUAUAAUCGCCCUGCAGCCCUUCUGCCGGCCUGGAGGGCGAGAGGAGCCGCGCUGCUGCCCCCGAGCAUCGCACGGGACAGAGGAGGGAUGGAUGUCACCGUGGGUGUCACCAUGGGUGUCACCAUGGGUGUCACCGGGUCCCACUGUCACUCCAACGCUGCAUCCCAGCAGUGCCCACAGCCCAAAGGCGGCUCCAUGAAAUCCCUGUUCCCAUGUCCUGCAGAAACUGGAGGUUUUCCUGGGUUUUUUUUGCCCUGAUUCACCUCCUCUGAUGGUUCCCGGGCUCUCACCAGAUUAAACCUCCCCAGCCCCGGGGCCCGUGCUAUCAGCUGAGCUAAUAAUAAUGCUGGUUACUGCUUACUAACAAUAUUAAGGCAUUGCAAGCUUAUCUCUGCCCAGCUAAUCUUUUCCAGAGUCACCCUGACAAAUAACUUGUUGCAAUCCCCCACUCCAUGCUCGUUCUCUCCCUGGUCUAGCAGAGGUUUGCUGGUCUCAGCCACCAAAAAUCCACCCUGUCACCAUCCAGGGACAUUCAGCAGGCAGGGAGAGAGGGAACAGAGGAAAGAUUUUGGGGAAAAGGAAAGGAAAAUCUGUCCCACUCCAAAGACAAGGCAGUGGCAGAAGAACGGACUGCAGAGCCUCAGGUCCCUCACAGGGAGCAUCAGCAGCAAGCACAGGCCAUGAACAGGGGUCACACGUGGUUUAAUUCCCUCCCCACCUCCUCUCCCAACACUGCUCAUCAGAGCUCAGCUCCCAGCAUCCCCAAAAAUGGGGGAUCCCAAAGGAACAGGGACACUGAGGCACAAAUCCCCCACAGAGGCUCAAGGGGCAUUGGUGGCUGCUCAAGGGCCUGGGGAGGUUUUCCUUUCACCAAGUGAAAGGAAACAGGGAAAACCAUCCUGCCCCACAGACAGAAAAACUCCCACUCCCCAUCCUGCUGGAGCUCAGCAUCCCCAGGCACCUCCCAUCAUCACAGGGAUGGCUCCCAUAAGUGCUGGGUGCCAGAGAACCCUCCCAGAACCACCACAAGGCCCUGCACAGACAAUUCCCAUCAGAACUCAGCUCCCUGCAUCCCCAAAAAUGGGGAUCCCAAAGGAACCCAAAGGAACAGGGGCACUGAGGCACAAAUCCCCCACAGAGGCUUGAGGGGCAUUGGCGGCUGCACAAGGGGAAGGUGAGUCCUGGGGGGUUUUCCUCUGCUCUUAAACUCACUUAGUGAAGGGAAAUAGGGAAAACCCUCCUGCCCCACAGACAGAAAAUCUCCAUCUCCCCAUCCUGCUGGAGCUCAGCAUCCCCAGGCACUUUCCAUGGCUCCCACAGGUGCUGGGUGCCAGAGAACCCUCCCAGAACCACCACAAGGCCCUGCACAGACAAUUCCCAUCAGAGCUCAGCUCCCUGCAUCCCCAAAAAUGGGGAUCCCAAAGGAACAGGGACACUGAGGCACAAAUUGAUAUCACAGAGAUCUCAAGGAUAUCUCCAAGCCCACACCCAAUGUGAAAGCAGGAUUAAAUAUGAGCCAACCAUGGCCUAAAGGAGGGGUUGGUUACCUUAAAAAGCCAACAUUUUCCAAAUUUUUAAGCAUUUAAACCCAGAGCUUCCCCCUCAAAACAAGCAAAGAAUGAGAAUGUGCAGGGGGCUUUUUGAACCCGGCGCUUCUGAGAGGGGGGGGAUAUGCAAAAAAAAAUCUGGCUGGCUGAGGAGCACAAGGUAUUUAAAACACGCUGGCUGCCAACUUGAGAGCUGACAUAAUCCAUCAUGACAACAGAGCCAACAGGGCAGGAUUUACAGAGCCUUCCACCCAGGGAGAGGAAACGGAGCCUGAUUCAGCCUGGAAGAAUGCACAGGAGAUACCUGCGGUGGAAAAGUAUCCAACACCCAGAUAUUUAAUGAGGGAGACACCUGAGAUGUGGUGAUGCAAAGGAGAGCAGGGCAGAUGCUCAGCAGAGCGUCACAGAGCAAAAAAAACCUGCUGCAAAAUUAUUCUGGUCUUCCAGGAUUGGGCUUUACCUUCACUUUUCUGGGGAAAAGUAGUGAACAAAACCAAGUUUUGAAUAUAUUUGCUGCUUGCAACACCGA